rnacentral:rRNA from 1 species
AUUGAACGCUGGCGGCAUGCUUUACACAUGCAAGUUGAACGGUAACAGGCCGCAAGGUGCUGACGAGUGGCGAACGGGUGAGUAAUGCAUCGGAACGUGCCAGUCGUGGGGGAUAACUACUCGAAAGAGUAGCUAAUACCGCAUACGAUCUAUGGAUGAAAGCGGGGGACCGUAAGGCCUCGCGCGAUUGGAGCGGCCGAUGUCAGAUUAGGUAGUUGGUGGGGUAAAGGCUCACCAAGCCAACGAUCUGUAGCUGGUCUGAGAGGACGACCAGCCACACUGGGACUGAGACACGGCCCAGACUCCUACGGGAGGCAGCAGUGGGGAAUUUUGGACAAUGGGCGCAAGCCUGAUCCAGCAAUGCCGCGUGCAGGAAGAAGGCCUUCGGGUUGUAAACUGCUUUUGUACGGAACGAAACGGCUCUGGUUAAUACCCGGGGCUAAUGACGGUACCGUAAGAAUAAGCACCGGCUAACUACGUG